UCCACCUCUAGGCUCAUGGUGUUAUCUGAUCCUUCAAGGCACUUUCAGAUUCCAUUCCCUGACGCAGCAUUUGCUAUAAAUAUGUCUGAAGAGUUUCUUGCUGACAGUGCCUAGCAAGAUUGCACCCUCCUUCCUGCAUCAGCCUCUGGAGGGACUGGGGACAUUAUGAUUGCUCCGUGGAUUUGGGGAUUCCUCCUGGGACCUGGGAAGGAGGGGAAGACACGCUGCCCUGUGGGAGCCCAAGUGGAAAGGAGCUGUGGCCCUCAGACCAGCAGCCUUCAGGGAACUGAAUCCUGUCUGUCAAUAGCUGUGCAAACUUAGUAUGGAAUCCUUCCUUAUCCCAGCAGCAGAUGAGACUAAGGCCCCAGCUAACACCUUGCUUGUAGCAGAGGACCUGGCCAAGCCAUGCCCAGACUCCUAAUGGACAGAAACAACAAAAUAAUAAACGCGAGUUGUUUUAAGCUGCUA